GAUGAACGCUGGCGGCGUGCCUAAUACAUGCAAGUCGAGCGAACGGACGAGAAGCUUGCUUCUCUGAUGUUAGCGGCGGACGGGUGAGUAACACGUGGAUAACCUACCUAUAAGACUGGGAUAACUUCGGGAAACCGGAGCUAAUACCUGAUAAUAUUUUGAACCGCAUGGUUCAAAAGUGAAAGACGGUCUUGCUGUCACUUAUAGAUGGAUCCGCGCUGCAUUAGCUAGUUGGUAAGGUAACGGCUUACCAAGGCAACGAUGCAUAGCCGACCUGAGAGGGUGAUCGACCACACUGGAACUGAGACACGGUCCAGACUCCUACGGGAGGCAGCAGUAGGGAAUCUUCCGCAAUGGGCGAAAGCCUGACGGAGCAACGCCGCGUGAGUGAUGAAGGUCUUCGGAUCGUAAAACUCUGUUAUUAGGGAAGAACAUAUGUGUAAGUAACUGUGCACAUCUUGACGGUACCUAAUCAGAAAGCCACGGCUAACUACGUG
rnacentral:rRNA from 1 species